rnacentral:rRNA from 1 species
UACAUAAGUAAGUAUCAUUAAUUGAAUACAUAGGUUAAUGAGGCGAACCGGGGGAACUGAAACAUCUAAGUACCCCGAGGAAAAGAAAUCAACCGAGAUUCCGAAAGUAGCGGCGAGCGAAAUUGGACUAGCCCUUAAGCUUUACACGCGUUAGACGAACGGUCUGGAAAGUCCGACGAUACAGGGUGAUAGUCCCGUAGUUGACGACGUGUGUUCAGUGAAAUCGAGUAGGGCGGGACACGUGAUAUCCUGUCUGAAUAUGGGGGGACCAUCCUCCAAGGCUAAAUACUACUGACUGACCGAUAGUGAACCAGUACCGUGAGGGAAAGGCGAAAAGAACCCCUGUGAGGGGAGUGAAAUAGAACCUGAAACCGUGUACGUACAAGCAGUAGGAGCAGGCUUUGUCCUGUGACUGCGUACCUUUUGUAUAAUGGGUCAGCGACUUAUAUUCAGUGGCAAGGUUAACCAUCUAGGGGAGCCGUAGGGAAACCGAGUCUUAACUGGGCGUUCAGUCUCUGGAUAUAGACCCGAAACCAGGUGAUCUAGCCAUGGGCAGGUUGAAGGUUGAGUAACAUCAACUGGAGGACCGAACCGACUAAUGUUGAAAAAUUAGCGGAUGACUUGUGGCUAGGGGUGAAAGGCCAAUCAAACCUGGAGAUAGCUGGUUCUCCCCGAAAGCUAUUUAGGUAGCGCCUCGGACGAAUACUACUGGGGGUAGAGCACUGUUAAGGCUAGGGGGUCAUCCCGACUUACCAACCCUUUGCAAACUCCGAAUACCAGUAAGUACUAUCCGGGAGACACACGGCGGGUGCUAACGUCCGUCGUGGAGAGGGAAACAACCCAGACCGCCAGCUAAGGUCCCAAAUUACUACUAAGUGGGAAACGAUGUGGGAAGGCUCAGACAGCCAGGAUGUUGGCUUAGAAGCAGCCAUCAUUUAAAGAAAGCGUAAUAGCUCACUGGUCGAGUCGGCCUGCGCGGAAGAUGUAACGGGGCUAAGUAGUAAACCGAAGCUGCGGCAAUGUGCUUUUGCACAUUGGGUAGGGGAGCGUUCUGUAAGCGGUUGAAGGUGUGUGGUAACGCAUGCUGGACGUAUCAGAAGUGCGAAUGCUGACAUGAGUAACGAUAAAGGGGGUGAAAAACCUCCUCGCCGGAAGACCAAGGGUUCCUGUCCAACGUUAAUCGGGGCAGGGUAAGUCGACCCCUAAGGCGAGGCCGAAAGGCGUAGUCGAUGGGAAACGGGUUAAUAUUCCCGUACUUCUUACAAUUGCGAUGGGGGGACGGAGAAGGCUAGGUGGGCCUGGCGACGGUUGUCCAGGUUCAAGUGCGUAGGCUUAAGAGUUAGGUAAAUCCGGCUCUUUUUAAGGCUGAGACACGACGUCGAGCACCUACGGGUGUGAAGUCAUUGAUGCCAUGCUUCCAGGAAAAGCCUCUAAGCUUCAGAUUGUAAGGAAUCGUACCCCAAACCGACACAGGUGGUCGGGUAGAGAAUACCAAGGCGCUUGAGAGAACUCGGGUGAAGGAACUAGGCAAAAUGGUACCGUAACUUCGGGAGAAGGUACGCUCUCGACGGUGAAGUCCCUCGCGGAUGGAGCUAUUGAGAGUCGCAGAUACCAGGUGGCUGCAACUGUUUAUUAAAAACACAGCACUGUGCAAAAUCGUAAGAUGACGUAUACGGUGUGACGCCUGCCCGGUGCCGGAAGGUUAAUUGAUGGGGUUAGACUUCGGUCGAAGCUCUUGAUCGAAGCCCCGGUAAACGGCGGCCGUAACUAUAACGGUCCUAAGGUAGCGAAAUUCCUUGUCGGGUAAGUUCCGACCUGCACGAAUGGCGUAAUGAUGGCCACGCUGUCUCCACCCGAGACUCAGUGAAAUUGAAAUCGCUGUGAAGAUGCAGUGUACCCGCGGCUAGACGGAAAGACCCCGUGAACCUUUACUACAGCUUGGCACUGAACAUUGACCCUACAUGUGUAGGAUAGGUGGGAGGCUUUGAAGCACGUACGCCAGUAUGUGUGGAGCCGUCCUUGAAAUACCACCCUUGUAGUGUUGAUGUUCUAACGUUGACCCCUUAUCGGGGUUGCGGACAGUGCCUGGUGGGUAGUUUGACUGGGGCGGUCUCCUCCCAAAGAGUAACGGAGGAGCACGAAGGUGGGCUAAUCACGGUUGGACAUCGUGAGGUUAGUGCAAUGGCAUAAGCCCGCUUGACUGCGAGAAUGACAAUUCGAGCAGGUGCGAAAGCAGGUCAUAGUGAUCCGGUGGUUCUGAAUGGAAGGGCCAUCGCUCAACGGAUAAAAGGUACUCCGGGGAUAACAGGCUGAUACCGCCCAAGAGUUCAUAUCGACGGCGGUGUUUGGCACCUCGAUGUCGGCUCAUCACAUCCUGGGGCUGAAGUCGGUCCCAAGGGUAUGGCUGUUCGCCAUUUAAAGUGGUACGCGAGCUGGGUUUAGAACGUCGUGAGACAGUUCGGUCCCUAUCUGCCGUGGGCGUUGGAAGAUUGAAGGGGGCUGCUCCUAGUACGAGAGGACCGGAGUGGACGAACCUCUGGUGUUCGGGUUGUGUCGCCAGACGCAUUGCCCGGUAGCUAAGUUCGGAAUCGAUAACCGCUGAAAGCAUCUAAGCGGGAAGCGAGCCCUGAGAUGAGUCUUCCCUGAUACUUUAAGUAUCCUAAAGGGUUGUCGGAGACUACGACGUUGAUAGGUCAGGUGUGUAAGUGCUGUGAGGCAUUGAGCUAACUGAUACUAAUUGCCCGUGAGGCUUAACCAUACAACACCCA